CAUAGCGGUAUCCUGAGUAACGCGGGACACGAGGAAUCCUGCGCGAAUCUGCCGGGACCAUCCGGUAAGGCUAAAUACUCCCGUGAGACCGAUAGCGAACGAGUACUGUGAAGGAAAGGUGAAAAGAACCCCGAGCAGGGGAGUGAAAUAGUUCCUGAAACCAUACGCCUACAAGCGGUCGGAGCAUCGCAAGAUGUGACGGCGUGCCUUUUGCAUAAUGAUCCUACGAGUUACCGUCACUGGCGAGGUUGAGUGUCACGAGACACGUAGCCGCAGUGAAAGCGAGCCUGAACAGGGCGCACAGUCAGUGGGGGUAGACGCGAAACCAAGUGAUCUACACUUGGCCAGGAUGAAGUCCCGGUAACACGGGAUGGAGGUCCGCACCAAUAAGCGUUGAAAAGCUUCUGGAUGAGCCGAGUGUAGGAGUGAAAGGCCAAUCAAACUUGGAGAUAGCUCGUACUCCCCGAAAGGCAUUUAGGUGCCGCGUCGGAUGGUCACCGUGAGAGGUAGAGCGACCGAUAGGACAAGAGGGCUUCACCGCCUAUCGAGUCCUGACGAACUCCGAAUGCUCACGGUCUGCAGUCCGGCAGUAAGGGGGCGGGUGCUAAGGUCCGUCCCCGAGAGGAGAAGAAUCCAGACCGCCGUCUAAGGUCCCGGAGUUCUGCCUGAGUUAGUCUAACGAAGUCUGGUCCCUAUGACAGCUAGGAUGUUGGCUUGGAAGCAGCCAUUCAUUCAAAGAGUGCGUAACAGCUCACUAGUCGAGGGUCCGGGCAUGGAUAAUAAUCGGGUAUAAGGCAGACACCGAAGGCGCGGGAUAGCAAUUAUAAAAGUAUCGGUAGGGGAGCAUACUCACAGCGUCGAAUGGUGUACGUAAGUUAUCCUGGAGCGGUGAGUAAAGCAAAUGUAGGAAUAAGUAACGAUAAGGAGGGUUAGAUUCCCUCCCGCUGUAAGACCAAGGUUUCCCGGGCAAUGCCAAUCAGCCCGGGGUCAGUCGGGUCCUAAGUCUAAGCCGAACGGCGAUGGCGAUGGCAGAGACGGUUAAUAUUCCGUCACUGCCGCAUGGGGCGACGUGGAGACGGAGCAGUGAAACCACCGCGGGGCGACGGAAGUCCCCGUUGAAGAGUGUAGGCGUUGAGGAUGGCAGGCAAAUCCACCAUCCGAGCUGAACUUGACAGUACGGAGUCCUCCUCGGAGGAAUCUGAUAGUGUGGGUAAACAUACUCCCGAGAAAAUCCGCUAAGCUUAACCCAUGCGGCACCCGUACCGCAAACGGACACACGUGGUCGGGUAGAACAUACUAAGGCGUUGAGAGAUUCAUGGUUAAGGAACUAGGCAAAUUGACCCUGUAACUUCGGGAUAAAGGGUCCUCGUGAUGAGCGAGGCGCAGAGAAUAGGUCCAGGCAACUGUUUAACAAAAACACAGGGCUGUGCAAACUCGAAAGAUGACGUAUACAGCCUGACACCUGCCCGGUGCCGGAAGGUUAAGAGGAGAUGUCAC
rnacentral:rRNA from 1 species